rnacentral:rRNA from 1 species
AUGGCGUUUCCAGAUGAUGAAAAGAUGAAGGGCUGUCGUCCAAAGAUUUUUGGGGCGAAAGAUAAGAAAGCCGCAAAGAAGACAGACCGUCCAAGCUCCUCCGCUGUUAAGUCUGCACCAAGCUCCUCCAAGGCACAAUCUUCUUCCCCAUUCAGACCACUUUCAGCAGAAGUUAGGAGCAUGCGUGAGGUUAGGAGCAUGCGUCUGAGCCAUUUUCUAGCCCGUUCUCCAAGUGUCAUAAAAAUUGAAUCUUUUAGGGUAUUUAUUUCUACAUGGAACGUUGGAGGAAACACACCUACCGCUGAGUUGAAUCUGGACGACUUCAUUCCUGCAGAUGACCACUCAGAUAUUUAUGUUUUAGGUUUUCAGGAAAUUGUCCCUCUCAAUGCUGGCAAUGUGCUUGUGAUCGAAGACAACGAACCAGCUGCAAGAUGGCUUGCUCUUAUAAACCGCACGCUAAACAGAACAAUUGACGGGGAUGCUGAUAUUUUCUGUCACAAGCCAUCUCUAUCCCUUGAUUCAACCUCUUCUCGAUCUUCAUCGAACCUUGAUGCUUCUUUCUCCAACCGCUCUGGUUCUGCAAUCUUCCAGUCCUCCUUAAAAUCUAUCAGGAAGCCUUACAUGCCAACUCAGAGAAAACUGCUCAAGAUCUGCAACUGCUCAGUUGAAAUGCCCAGGAAAUCCUACAAAGAUGCUUGCUUUGGAUGCCCACAAGCAUACAUUAAUGAGACCGACUCUUCGGAAGAAGAUGAAGUUGAUGACAGAUCAAAUAAUGCUUCUGGUUAUGUGGUUGAUGGAGUGAUUUCGUCCGCUUCUGCCUCUAGUGAUCAGCUAAAAUAUAACCUCGUAUCUUGCAAACGAAUGGUUGGUAUUUUUGUCACAGUAUGGGCAAAGAAAGAACUAGUGCCGCAUAUCGGUCAUGUGAGGACAUCAUGUGUAGGCCGUGGAGUAAUGGGUUAUCUUGGAAACAAGGGAUGUAUAUCAGUGAGCAUGACACUGCACCAGACAAGCUUUUGUUUCAUCUGUAGCCAUUUGGCUUCAGGUGAGAAAGAAGGCGAUGAGUUGCGGCGCAACUCAGAUGUUUUAGAGAUACUGAGGGCCACGCAGUUUCCAAGAAUUUGCAGAAGAGCUGGGCAAAGAAUCCCUGAAAAAAUUAUUGACCAUGACCGGGUGAUAUGGUUGGGGGAUCUGAACUACCGUAUUUCCCUGAGCUAUGAAGAUACCAAGAAACUUCUGACUGAAAAUAACUGGGAUGCCCUUUUUCAAAAGGAUCAACUUAACACUGAGCGCAAUUCUGGAAGGGUAUUCAGGGGUUGGAGCGAAGAGAAGAUAUAUUUUGCUCCCACAUACAAGUACACUUUUAACUCAGAUUCUUAUUCUGGAGAAACUGCAACCUCAAAGAAAAAGAGGAGAACCCCAGCCUGGUGUGAUAGAAUACUAUGGCAUGGAGAUGGGAUUGCGCAGUCAUCCUACUUCCGUGGGGAGUCUAAAUUUUCUGACCAUCGUCCUGUCUGUGGAUCAUUCACUGUGGAAGUGUAUUUGCUGGACGGCAAAUCAAAGAGGCGCACAUCUAACACUAAUAUUAGAAUUGGUGCUGAAGAGCUCUUACCGACGAGUAAGAAUAAGGUUACCAAAGGUGCUGGGACCAAAACCACAAAAUAA